rnacentral:rRNA from 2 species
GGGUAGUUUGACUGGGGCGGUCUCCUCCUAAAGAGUAACGGAGGAGCACGAAGGUUAGCUAAUCCUGGUCGGACAUCAGGAGGUUAGUGCAAAGGCAUAAGCUAGCUUGACUGCGAGCGUGACGGCGCGAGCAGGUGCGAAAGCAGGUCUUAGUGAUCCGGUGGUUCUGAAUGGAAGGGCCAUCGCUCAACGGAUAAAAGGUACUCCGGGGAUAACAGGCUGAUACCGCCCAAGAGUUCAUAUCGACGGCGGUGUUUGGCACCUCGAUGUCGGCUCAUCACAUCCUGGGGCUGAAGUAGGUCCCAAGGGUAUGGCUGUUCGCCAUUUAAAGUGGUACGCGAGCUGGGUUUAGAACGUCGUGAGACAGUUCGGUCCCUAUCUGCCGUGGGCGCUGGAGAAUUGAGGGGGGCUGCUCCUAGUACGAGAGGACCGGAGUGGACGCAUCACUGGUGUUCGGGUUGUCAUGCCAAUGGCACUGCCCGGUAGCUAAAUGCGGAAGAGAUAAGUGCUGAAAGCAUCUAAGCACGAAACUUGCC